GCACAUGCCUGUGAUCCCAGCACUUGUCUGUGAAUCAGAGGUCAGACUGAUCUACAGAACGUGUUUCAGGGCAGUCAGGAUUACACAAAGAGAAACACUAUCUUGAAAAACAACAAAGAAACAAACAACAAAAAGGGUUAUGUAUCUGAAGAGAGAAUUUUCAAAAGAAGAAAUAAAAAUGGCUAAAAAUAUCUUUAGCUCCAUAUCAAACCAGAUACACUCAAGCUAAUAGAAGAAAAACAUCUGGAACACAUGGGCACUGGAAAAAAUUUCCUGAACAAAACACCAAUGGCUUAUGCUCUAAGAUCAAGAAUCGACAAAUGGGAUCUCAUAAAACUGCAAAGCUUCUGUAAGGCAAAGGACACUGUGGUUAGGACAAAACGGCAACCAACAGAUUGGGAAAAGAUCUUUACCAAUCCUACAACAGAUAGAGGCCUUAUAUCCAAAAUAUACAAAGAACUCAAGAAGUUAGACCGCAGGGAAACAAAUAACCCUAUUAAAAAAUGGGGUUCACAGCUGAGGAAUGCCGAAUGGCCGAGAAACACCUAAAGAAAUGUUCAACAUCUUUAGUCAUAAGGGAAAUGCAAAUCAAAACAACCCUGAGAUUUCACCUCACACCAGUGAGAAUGGCUAAGAUCAAAAACUCAGGUGACAGCAGAUGCUGGCGAGGAUGUGGAGAAAGAGGAACACUCCUCCAUUGUUGGUGGGAUUGCAGACUGGUAAAACCAUUCUGGAAAUCAGUCUGGAGGUUCCUCAGAAA
rnacentral:lncRNA from 1 species